rnacentral:rRNA from 1 species
GACGAACGCUGGCGGCGUGCUUAACACAUGCAAGUCGAACGGAAAGGCCCUGCUUUUGUGGGGUGCUCGAGUGGCGAACGGGUGAGUAACACGGGAGUAACCUGCCCUUGACUUUGGGAUAACUUCAGGAAACUGGGGCUAAUACCGGAUAGGAGCUCCUGCUGCAUGGUGGGGGUUGGAAAGUUUCGGCGGUUGGGGAUGGACGCGCGGCUUAUCAGCUUGUUGGUGGGGUAGUGGCUUACCAAGGCUUUGACGGGUAGCCGGCCUGAGAGGGUGACCGGGCACCUUGGGACUGCGGUACGGACCAGACUCCUACGGGAGGCAGCAGUGGGGAAUAUUGCACAAUGGGCGGAAGCCUGAUGCAGCAACGCCGCGUGCGGGAUGACGGCCUUCGGGUUGUAAACCGCUUUCGCCUGUGACGAAGCGUGAGUGACGGUAAUGGGUAAAGAAGCACCGGCUAACUACGUG